rnacentral:rRNA from 1 species
AGAGCGAACGCUGGCGGCAGGCCUAACACAUGCAAGUCGAGCGCCCGUAGCAAUACGGGAGCGGCAGACGGGAUAGUAACACGUGGGAACGCGCCCUUCGGUUCGGAAUAACUCAGGGAAACUUGAGCUAAUACCGAAUACGCCCUUACGGGGAAAGAUUUAUUGCCGAAGGAACGGCCCGCGUCCGAUUAGCUAGUUGGUGAGGUAAUGGCUCACCAAGGCUACGAUCGGUAGCUGGUCUGAGAGGAUGACCAGCAUCACUGGGACUGAGACACGGCCCAGACUCCUACGGGAGGCAGCAGUGGGGAAUAUGGACAAUGGGGGCAACCCUGAUCCAGCCAUGCCGCGUGAGUGAUGAAGGCCUUCGGGUUGUAAAGCUCUUUUGGCGGGACGAUGAUGACGGUACCCGCAGAAUAAGCCCCGGCUAACUUCGUGCCAGCAGCCGC